UGCUUGAUGAAGAUGCUUUCCUUAGA
rnacentral:piRNA from 1 species